AUAUUAUAUUAUUUUAAAAGAUUCCUUUGCUGUUAAUUGGAGUUAAGCAUAAAAUUGUUAAAAAUUUCUAGUGUCGUCCCGUUCAUUCUCCUCUCUCCUUCUUUUAACCAAAUUAAACGUAAGUAAACAUCAAAUAAAUUUAUUGAAUAAUUGCAUAUCGAUGGUCACGGUCGGAAAAUGCCUGCCUCCAUUGCAACGUUUAAAAAUCUCCUAUUAUUAUCAUUAUUAUUUUUACUUUCAUGUUAAUUUCUUACUUAUUAUUGUUUUUCUAAGUUUUUUCUUUUUUUCCUUUUUUUAUUAAAGAAAACUAAUCAUAAUAUCUUUUGGCAACUUUGUGCGAAUAUUUUUGAAUGAGUUAACAUAAUUCCGCGACAAUUACAGAAACAUUAAAGAGACAAAUAAUUGGGUUGAUUUCUUGUAUUAUAUUUUUUAAAAGAUACGCAGUAUUUAAUUAAUUAAUCCAGUAUUGAAUGAUUUGGGGGGGGGGGCGAUUCCUCGAGUGUUUAACAUAGCGGUAGGUCAGGGAUUGAUUCACUAUGCGCAUUCGGACUGAAUUUUUUGCAAUAGGGAAUCACUGUAAAAUCUGUAAAAGCUCAUCUAUAAAAGCUCUAUCUGCACCGAAAUCUAAUGGUAGGUACAUAUUUUAAUUUUCAAAUCAGAGGGAGGGGCUGGCCGCCCGUUCCAAGUACAUGCGAGCAGUAGUUGCUGGAACUUGCUUUUCUCACCGCUUUCAAAGCUAAAACAAAUUCUCAAAUCAGCCAGGAAUGAUGGUUCUUUAUUGCUAAUUUUAGUCAUCUAACUAGAAGCAAAACAGUGUUACCAACUUAACGAGGGUCGCCAUUGCGAUGAAGCAGUCUGUUUUGAUGCAUGGAUUAUCGAUCUUUCUACAUUAAUUUAAAUGGACAUGUUUAUUCUAAAAGGAACUAUGUUGCAAUUUUGCAUGCAAGCCCUAUGUACAUACUUUCUUCUAGCAUAUGUACGUCCACAUGAGUAGAACCCAGUGUCACUGAUUUGCAGAAAUUACCACUGUCUGUGUGUCAAAAACCUUCAAGGCUUCGAAUAAUGAUCACAGGUGACUUGUGAACUUUAGACUUUCCAGCCAUGGUAGCUCAUACAAUUUAGGGUAGCGACGGAAGAAUUUCAGGCGCAUACUAUCCUAGAGGCAAACAAUGAAAUUAUUGAAUAAAAGGGACGUCUUUAAUUAUAAGCAGAAGUGUGUUUAGUUACCAUCAAGAGAUUAUAAAAAAGUGCGUGAAACCGCCAAAGCAUAGUACAAUGUGAGGCUACGCGAUGUUUCUCAAAUCUCUCGAUUUCGAAAAAUGCAAUUAAUUUAGUGAAUUUCACUUUCUUUCCAGUGAUAGCACCGUCAACUUCUCUGCUAAUGCGGUACAACUCGCCUGUUGUGCUGGAUGAAAGAACUCUGGAUAAACUGCAAGGUUUAGCCGACAAUGGAAUGAGUUUAAUGAGGACCUACCUACCGCUGACCUCUCACGAUGACCUACGUCAGUUUGAAGUCAAUCUAUCGGAUUACUCUUUCCGUGCUCAAAUCGUAAAAGAGCUGUCACUUUCUGGAAGAAAAAACUUCAAAAAAACCAUCACUGAUAUAUGUCGGCAACUUAUGACUGAUGACUUGGCCCACGAUUUCAGUUGGAAGGGACAAAGGAACAACAAAAUGGCCAUGGAAGAUCUCCUUCUUAAGGAUCUAAUUUUUGAUGUCGUGAGAUUAAAAGGGUUUCGGCCACCUUGUCUUGGCAGAUACAAAAUAAUUGAAAUCAUUAAAGAAUGGUUAGCUCAAGCGAAUAAUCGGCUCAAAAGGCGGCAAACUAAAUAUUUAAGGUUCAAUCCUUCCUCUGGAAGCCUGGGUCAUCAUCACUUAUUCAGAUCACUUCAGAACUAAUUGAAGCUCUUAAUUGGUUCGCAUUUGAUGGUACCGAACAAGAGGUAAAAGGGUUGUCGGUGUCGACGCGGCUCCUGGGAGCGAGCGACCCUGAUGGAGGGCGCCGGGGAUUUUCGUGCCCCAAGUGUGGCCGCGUGUACAAGUGGGAGCAGAGUCGCCGGCUCCACAUGCGCAUCGGUUGCGACGCAGAACCCCAUCUAGCCUGCCCUCACUGCCACUACAGAACCAGAUACAAUCACUGCCUCACCCGACACGUCAAGAAAUUACACCCGAACAGCUUCAUUUAGCCUUACCAGAGACAAGAGACCCUCUACUAGUAUCUUGGCCAUGGUGGAAGCUUUUACUUUCGGGACUUCAGCAUUCUACUGUUGACUCACCUACAUGGUUGAUGUUCAAGAACGUGUUGGCAGUUUCGUUUUGCAAACAAGCCGAAAAUGGCCGACGUUUGGGAAAGUUGUUUGGCUUAUGACGUCAUCCGAAGCUCAUCAUCGACCAUGUAGGUAUGUCAACAGCCGGAACUAGCGUGAUGACUAUUGCUCCCUAAUAAUUGUCCACAAGGAAUUGUUGAAACCCCGAAAGUAAAAGCUUCCACCUGACGUUAGGAGGCCAGUGGAGGGUCUCUUGUCUCUGAGCCUUACCUUCACCAAUACGGGUAUUUUAGAUCCGGCUUGCUUUAAUCAGAUCGAUCUAAGUAACAGGGUCCAACAAUCUGAUAGAUCAUACCUAUACGGAAAGAUUUGAUGAAGAGGAUUCUCGACAUUUUUCAACCGGGGGCGCGUUAAGCCGGAAUCGUUCGCUGAAUGUGGAAACAUUCGGCCCGAUGCCUGAAUUUUGCGCAAGGAGCUCAGUAAAUUCUAGGUGGCGGUAGCCACUCCGGCCCAAUCCUAAAAAACUCCCCUAAAAAGUUGACGACCAAAAAAAAAAAGAAGAAGUGGAAUGACAUGAACCUCACUCUUUUACGGUGGCGGUGUUGGUAAAAAGUUCACAUUCUCAUA